GAUGAAGAACGCAGCGAAAUGCGAUAAGUAAUGUGAAUUGCAGAAUUCAGUGAAUCAUCGAAUCUUUGAACGCACAUUGCGCCCGCCAGAAUUCUGGCGGGCAUGCCUGUUCGUGCGUCAUUACAACCCUCAGGCCCCCGGGCCUGGCGUUGGGGAUCGGCGGAAGCCCCCUGCGGGCACAACGCCGUCCCCCAAAUACAGUGGCGGUCCCGCCGCAGCUUCCAUUGCGUAGUAGCUAACACCUCGCAACUGGAGAGCGGCGCGGCCACGCCGUAAAACACCCAACUUCUGAAUGUUGACCUCGAAUCAGGUAGGAAUACCCGCUGAACUUAAGCAUAUCAAUAAGCGGAGGA
rnacentral:misc_RNA from 1 species